rnacentral:rRNA from 1 species
AUUGAACGCUGGCGGCAGGCCUAACACAUGCAAGUCGAACGAGUGGCGGACGGGUGAGUAAUGUCUGGGAAACUGCCUGAUGGAGGGGGAUAACUACUGGAAACGGUCGCUAAUACCGCAUACCAUCGGAUGUGCCCAGAUGGGAUUUGCUAGUAGGUGGGGUAAAGGCUCACCUAGUCGACGAUCCCUAGCUGGUCUGAGAGGAUGACCAGACACACGGGAACAGAGACAUGGUCCAGACUCCGAAGGGAGGCAGCAGUGGGGAAUAUUGAACAAUGGGCGCAAGCCUGAUGCAGCCAUGCCGCGUGUAUGAAGAAGGCCUUCGGGUUGUAAAGUACUUUCAGCGGGGAGGCGUUACCCGCAGAAGAAGCACCGGCUAACGCCGUGCCAGCAGCCGCGGUAACUC